rnacentral:rRNA from 1 species
UCCGGAGGGUGCAAUCGUUGUUCGGAAUCAUUGGGCGUAAAGGGCGCGUAGGCGGUUCGGUAAGUCGGGUGUGAAAGCCCCGGGCUCAACCCGGGAAGUGCAUCCGAAACUGCCGGACUUGAGUACGGGAGGGGGAAGUGGAAUUCCUGGUGUAGGGGUGAAAUCCGUAGAUAUCAGGAGGAACACCGGUGGCGAAGGCGACUUCCUGGACCGAUACUGACGCUGAGGCGCGAAAGCGUGGGGAGCAAACAGG